UGAUUGCGUUAGGGAUUGCAGUGGAGCUCUUUUUGUGGCUGGCCUUUUUGCCAGGCAUAAAAAAGCGGGAACGAAAAGCCCGACCCGCC
rnacentral:sRNA from 1 species